rnacentral:rRNA from 1 species
GAUCCUGGCUCAGGAUGAACGCUAGCUACAGGCUUAACACAUGCAAGUCGAGGGGAAACGAUAGAGAAAGCUUGCUUUUUCUAGGCGUCGACCGGCGCACGGGUGAGUAACGCGUAUCCAACCUGCCCACCACUUGGGGAUAACCUUGCGAAAGUAAGACUAAUACCCAAUGAUAUCUCUAGAAGACAUCUGAAAGGGAUUAAAGAUUUAUCGGUGAUGGAUGGGGAUGCGUCUGAUUAGCUUG